rnacentral:rRNA from 1 species
UGCGUAGGCGGCGUCGUAAGUCAGAAGUGAAAGCUUACAGCUUAACUGUAAAAUUGCUUUUGAUACUGCGGUGCUUGAAUUAGGUUGAGGUUAGCGGAAUGUGGCAUGUAGCGGUGAAAUGCAUAGAUAUGCCAUAGAACACCAAUUGCGAAGGCAGCUAGCUAGGCCUAUAUUGACGCUGAGGCACGAAAGCGUGGGGAGCGAACAGGAUUAGAUACCCUGGUAGUCC